CUACGGGAGGCAGCAGUGAGGAAUAUUGGGCAAUGGAGGCAACUCUGACCCAGCCAUGCCGCGUGCAGGAAGACGGCCCUAUGGGUUGUAAACUGCUUUUGUACGGGAAGAAACACUCCUACGUGUAGGAGCUUGACGGUACCGUAAGAAUAAGGAUCGGCUAACUCCGUGCCAGCAGCCGCGGUAAUACGGAGGAUCCAAGCGUUAUCCGGAAUCAUUGGGUUUAAAGGGUCCGUAGGCGGCCUUAUAAGUCAGUGGUGAAAUCUCCUAGCUUAACUAGGAAACUGCCAUUGAUACUGUAGGGCUUGAAUUUUUGUGAAGUAACUAGAAUAUGUAGUGUAGCGGUGAAAUGCUUAGAUAUUACAUGGAAUACCAAUUGCGAAGGCAGGUUACUAACAAACGAUUGACGCUGAUGGACGAAAGCGUGGGGAGCGAACAGGAUUAGAAACCCCGGUAGUCC
rnacentral:rRNA from 1 species